ACCCGGUCCCAUUCCGAACCCGGAAGUUAAGCCCCCGAGCGCCGAUGGUACUGCGGAGUCAGUCCGUGGGAGAGCAGGACGUCGCUGACC
rnacentral:rRNA from 1 species